rnacentral:lncRNA from 1 species
CUUCAACCCACCCUCCCCCAACAUGCAUGCCUCAGUACUCUCGUUGUUUACUUUGCCUCAGGAAUUCAGCAACUAGACAACCCAAUUUUACAAGAUUAUCUUAUUUCUCAAGAAGUUCACCAAGUGUUCCAAAACUUCCUGCCAGAGCAACGAAGAAAAAAAGAGAAAGGUGGAAGAGGCAGAGAAAGGAGUAAGAGAAGCGACAGAAGGAAGAGAGUAAGCGAGAGAAGGGCAUGAUCUCGUUGGACAUCAUAUUGCUGGUCUGUUCAAGGAAGAUGCGGGACCAAACUUCUUGGGGCUGUUGGUCCUGCAAAAUAUUCUUUUAUGAUUACAACUCAACUACAGAGCUGGGCACUUGCUAUGCACUGCCCGUGCAUUCUCACUUGACCCCGUCCUUCAUACUAUGAGGUGAGUGCUCUGAUCUUCAUUUUAUAUAUGAGGAAACUAAGGCUUGGAGACAUUGAUCUUCCUAAGACCAAAGGCAAGCAAAUAGCAGAGGAGGAGUUCAAAUCCAAGAAAGUCCAUGCUGGCCCCUGAAUGAAGUGAAUGACAGAAGGAAAUUUAGGAAUGAAUGUGAAGGGUCAGGAUACAGAUGCAGACAUGCAAGACAAAUUCCAUUUCUUCCAAAUCAAGUUGAAUUGCUAGUCUUUGUCCCCCUGUGCUGGUACGAAACUAGAACUCAGCCUUCUCAAGGUUUCCUGUCCUUUCUGGGGUUGUGCUGUGGUUGUGAGGUUUCCUG